rnacentral:rRNA from 1 species
ACGAAGGGGGCAAGCGUUGUUCGGAAUUACUGGGCGUAAAGGGCGCGUAGGCGGCUUACCAAGUCUGACGUGAAAUCCCCGGGCUCAACCUGGGAAUUGCGUUGGAGACUGCGAGGCUAGAAUCUGGCAGAGGGGGGUAGAAUUCCACGUGUAGCAGUGAAAUGCGUAGAGAUGUGGAGGAACACCGAUGGCGAAGGCAGCCCCCUGGGUCAAGAUUGACGCUCAUGCACGAAAGCGUGGGGAGCAAACAGGA